CGAUAUCCCGAAGGUGGCUGGCCUGUUUCCUUUCUUAACUCAGUGUGGUGGGAAAAGAGCCCAAAUAGCCUGCCAGAAGUACAUGAUCACCAAAAUGUCCCAUCUAAGUCUACCAGCAUGAGAGGACUUGAAUGGGGAAAGAAGAACAAAAGAAAACAACAGUUAAUUAAGGAUUGUUUUGAUUUAGACCUAAAAUAUCCCUCAAAAGCCUUAUGUACCUGGGAGAUGAUUGCAUCAUGGUAUUGUUGUGCUCCUCACUGGAUUAAUCCACCAAUGAGUUCACAGCCACAUGUGCUGUUUUGAGGUGAGUUACUGACACUGUGACCCGGGAAGGUGUAUUCUUGUUCCUGGCAAGCC
rnacentral:lncRNA from 1 species